GUCUACAACCAUGCCACCCUGAACAAGCCCAAUCCUGUCUGAUCUCGGAAGCUAAGCAGGGUCGGACCUGAUUAGUACUUGGAUGGGAGACCACCUAGGAAGACCAGGUGCUGUAGGCA
rnacentral:rRNA from 1 species